rnacentral:rRNA from 1 species
AUUGAACGCUGGCGGCAUGCUUUACACAUGCAAGUCGAACGGCAGCGCGGGGGCGAACCCUGGCGGCGAGUGGCGAACGGGUGAGUAAUGUAUCGGAACGUAUCCUGUAAUGGGGGAUAACCAGUCGAAAGAUUGGGUAAUACCGCAUACGCACGAGAGUGGAAAGUAGGGGAUCGCAAGACCUUACGUUAUAGGAGCGGCCGAUAUCUGAUUAGCUAGUUGGUGGGGUAAAGGCCUACCAAGGCGACGAUCAGUAGCUGGUCUGAGAGGACGACCAGCCACACUGGGACUGAGACACGGCCCAGACUCCUACGGGAGGCAGCAGUGGGGAAUUUUGGACAAUGGGCGAAAGCCUGAUCCAGCCAUGCCGCGUGCAGGAAGAAGGCCUUCGGGUUGUAAACUGCUUUAGUCUAGGAAAAAGGGGUGCGAGGUUAAUACCCUCGUGCUUUGAUGGUACUGGAAGAAUAAGCACCGGCUAACUACGUG